GCCCGGUUAACUCAGUCGGUAGAGUGUCAGACUUUUACGAGUUUAAUCGUAAUCUGACAGCCGCGGGUUCGAGCCCCGCAUCGGGCU